UGGAAUUUGUUGUCUGUGUCACGGACUUGC
rnacentral:piRNA from 1 species